UACGGAGGGGGCUAGCGUUGUUCGGAAUUACUGGGCGUAAAGCGCACGUAGGCGGCUUUGCAAGUCAGAGGUGAAAGCCCGGGGCUCAACCCCGGAAUAGCCUUUGAGACUGCAUCGCUAGAAUUGUGGAGAGGUAAGUGGAAUUCCGAGUGUAGAGGUGAAAUUCGUAGAUAUUCGGAAGAACACCGGUGGCGAAGGCGGCCUGCUGGGCAGUAGCUGACACUGAGGCGCGACAGCGUGGGGAGCAAACAGG
rnacentral:rRNA from 1 species